rnacentral:rRNA from 1 species
UACGUAGGGGGCAAGCGUUGUUCGGAAUGACUGGGCGUAAAGGGUGCGUAGGCGGUUUUUUAAGUUAGUGGUUAAACGUCGGGGCUUCACCUUGAUUUGCCAUUAAUACUGUAAGACUCGAGUUCAGACGAGGUAGGCGGAAUAAGUUAAGUAGCGGUGAAAUGCUUAGAUAUAACUUAGAACUCCGAUAGCGAAGGCAGCUUACCAGACUGCGACUGACGCUGAAGCACGAGAGCGUGGGUAGCGAACAGG